rnacentral:rRNA from 1 species
UGGGGAAUCUUGCGCAAUGGGCGAAAGCCUGACGCAGCGACGCCGCGUGGGGGAUGAAGCUUCUCGGAGUGUAAACCCCUUUCGACCCGGACGAAACGCCCGCAAGGGCUUGACGGUACGGGUAUAAGAAGCCCCGGCUAACUACGUGCCAGCAGCCGCGGUAAGACGUAGGGGGCCAGCGUUGCUCGGAAUUACUGGGCGUAAAGGGUUCGUAGGCGGUGCGGCAAGUCGGAAGUGAAAUCUCUGGGCUUAACUCAGAGGCUGCUCCCGAAACUGCCGUGCUUGAGUGCGGGAGAGGCCAGUGGAAUUGCAGGUGUAGCGGUGAAAUGCGUAGAUAUCUGCAGGAACACCCGUGGCGAAGGCGGCUGGCUGGACCGCAACUGACGCUGAGGAACGAAAGCUAGGGGAGCAAACAGGAUUAGAUACCCCCGUAGUCC